rnacentral:misc_RNA from 1 species
ACAAAGUCUAAUAUUAUCACU